rnacentral:misc_RNA from 1 species
CAGCAGCACACAUGCGCAUGCACAGUGCUGUAGAGACACCUACCUUCUCUUCUUGCAAUGAAGGCAGCUAGCACCGCUUCCCCAGCGCCUCAGACGAAAGCGGCUGCAGAGGCCAAGGCAGCCGCCGCCACCACGGCCGCCUCUUCAUUGUCUCUUUCCCUCCUUCAAUACGGUGCCUCUCUCUACGAAGCACAUACGCACCUGCCUGAAGCCGCCGCGGCGCGGCUGCCCCUCAAUCGCCACGCUGACUACCUGCGCCAUUUUGGCUUUAGCAUGGAGCGGGAAAGCAGGGGCGCGACUGCCCCCGGGACGACGGCGGCGCUCGACAGCACCAGUCCAAAUCACAAGAUGCAGGUACCACUAGACGGACGUCGGGGCAAGAGGGCGGAGACGGACACCUCUUACGAUCCCGUAGAAGUCGCAGGCUGGGGCCUGCCAGAGACCCUGCGAUGCGAAGCAGAUCAGCGGUGCAGCGCCGUUGGAUCGCUGAGCGACGCCACGGAGUGGUCGGCGAUUGCAAAGCAGCUGGUAGACCCCUUCAUGACUGUCACGUGGCGGCAGACUGCUACGCAGUGCACCAUCAAGAAGGCGUGUUGCGUGUACAUGUGGCUGUGCUCUCACAUGACGCUGCAGGUGAGCGUGCCAGGAGCUGUAGAGAACGCCAAUGAGGACAACGGAGGUGCCUCGACGGUCGGUCUACCGUCCGCGGCGAAGGCGGCGUCGUUAGCGCGCAAUUCCAACCGCCCGGCGCGCAAGGUGAAGGAAGUUCCGGCAACGCUAGAGCCCGCCGCUCCCCCUGAUCCACUAUUAGUGGCGCUACAGACGCGGCGCGCUCCAGCGCCGGUUCUGGCCGACGUGUACAUGCACAUGCUGACCAGCGUCGGCGUCGUGUGCGAAGUCGUGGUGGGCCAACUAAAGGGUGCGGCCCCGGAGGAGGCGUUUGAGUGGAGUUGGAAUAUGGUGACGGUAGACGGGAGGCAGUACCUUGUAGAUGUGUCGGCUGCCUUGUCGAAUGGGGUGCUGCGCAGCUCUGCGUCCCAUUCAGAUGUGUCGUCGUCUGUGGCGGUGCACGAGGCCGGUAAAGGACAGCGAGCGGGCAACGCAGCGGGCCGUGGCAAGGCGGCCGCCCCAUCGCAGUCAUCGCCGCCGGCGGGGUCAGGGGCGGUGCCGUGUAAUGAGUCCUUUCAGCUGCUACCCGUUACCCCGGAGAGGCUGCGACGGGAGUUCUUUUUCUUUACUCACCCAACCUACUUUCUCGCCUCUCACCUCCCUGCAGACCCCGCGAAGGCGCUCGUGCGAACAGCCAUGAGGGUAGUGCAGUGGGGCGUGCGCCCGCGCCUCACCCCUGCUUUCUACCACUAUGGGCUGCAGCUGGCUUCCCACAAGACGCACAGCGCCUUUGCCGCCAGCGGGUCGCCGUCGUACGUGUCGUUUGUCAAUCACCACGCCAGCACGACGGAGCUGUGCUGCGCUCUGUACAUGGGCACGCUGCGGACCCUUCCUGAGGAUCUUUCACAGACAGCACCCCUAGGGGCGGAGUGGGUGUGGCACCAGCGCGAAGAGAGCACCAGCACGGACACCUUCACCCUCACUGUGCCACAGGCGGGCUACUAUGUACUGGUUAUCGGAGCGCGGCGGAUUCGUGCCGACCCAUACAGCGCCGUGUUCACCGUCGCUGGAGAGACGGCGUUCACGCCGGUGGUUUCGUACGAGAUGCGCGUCGGCUUCACGCCGAGCAGCUCCCCAGUGCUGCCGCGCCAGUACCUGUCGCCAUCUAUUUGCCGCCUCAUAACUCCUUUGUGCUCGCAGAUCUUGCCGGGGAAGCACACGUUCUGCGUAAUGCCGUCGUGCAGUAACGUGCUGGCAGUGGCCGUCGUGAAGUUCGUCGCCGUGGCGGCCACCCGUACGCUUCUUUCGUUGUUGACAUUCCAGCCUCGCAACGCUGCUUUUGAGGGCGACGUGGAUGUGCGCAGCGGGGACGGCGUGGAGGUGUGGGUGCUGUACGGCGCGCCGGAUCGAAACGGGCAAGAGCUGAGUCAGCGCACUGCAGCUGCAGCAGCGCCGAAAGCGGCGGCGACGGCUUGCGCGUCGCCCACCGCAGCCGCGAAGUUCAAGGCGACCGACAAGAAGAAGAGGGAGGCCUCGGCUGAGCAGCAGCAGCAGCUCAGCGCGCUGGAGUCACAGCUCACCCACCUCACGCAGGCGCUGCACAAGGGUGAGGUGUUCCAGCGCUGCGUCGGCGGCAUCGAGGUGCGCCACUUUGUUUCCCCUGCCGUAGUGGGUGUGAUUCAACCGCAGCCGAUUGUCGAGCAGGAGCAGAGUAUCACACUGCGCCGACUGGCCGGUGUGACGGAUGCGCUGCUGUGCGAGGCAGAGGAGGUGGUGCGACGCCAGCCGGCUCCCGUCGGCAGCUACUUUGGCGCUGCCGAAGCCGCUGCAGCGAAGUCAUGAGGGAAUACGUGAGGAGAACAGAGCUGCCGCAGAGGUACUGUGCGCAGAGGAGAUGUACAGAUGCGCGCACAUAUUGGCCUCACCGCUGCACUGCAGCACACGCGUACAUCGACGUGUGUAUGUGCUUGGAUGCUCUAGCCAGCACAUGUCUCUCUCCCUCUGUUUGCGCUUCAUGUCUCUCGCCGAAGGGGAUGCAGCAUCCGCCGAGGGCUAGCAAGGGUCUCAUGGUCGGUGCCGAGGGCGAUCCCACGAGAGAGCCACUAGAAAGGCAGACAAAGGGUCAGCAGAGCGGGCGAGAGGGCAACCGCAGGGGUGAGGGGCACGUGGCACUCUGGAGACUCACAUGCUCAAGUGAGCAUCCGCCGUACCGCUGAGAUGGGGAGAGGGAGGGAGGGGGAAGGGGGGGUAGCGUCUGACUCUCCGGCGGCCUCAUGUCCAUGCCCAUUCUCGUCGCCUCCCUUCCCCGGUGUGUUGUCAUUUGCGAAUGCCUUUUCGUCUUCUACUCGAUGUGCAGUAUUGUGUGCCCGCAACAAGCGGCGCCGCGCGACUUUCUAGAUCGUAUUUCUCUGCCAAGGAGACAGUGAG